rnacentral:rRNA from 1 species
AUUGAACGCUGGCGGCAGGCCUAACACAUGCAAGUCGAACGAGUGGCGGACGGGUGAGUAAUGUCUGGGAAACUGCCUGAUGGAGGGGGAUAACUACUGGAAACGGUAGCUAAUACCGCAUACAAUAAGAAGUGCCAAGAUGGGAAUAGCUUGUUGGUGGGGGAACGGCUCACCAAGGCGACGACCCCUAGCUGGUCUGAGAGGAUGACCAGCCACACUGGAACUGAGACACGGUCCAGACUCCUACGGGAGGCAGCAGUGGGUAAUAUUGCACAAUGGGCGCAAGCCUGAUUCAGCCAUGCCGCGUGUAUGAAGAAGGCCUUCGGGUUGUAAAGUACUUUCAGCGGGGAGGCGUUACCCGCAGAAGAAGCACCGGCUAACUCCGUGCCAGCCGCCGCGGUAAUUC